rnacentral:rRNA from 1 species
GACGAACGCUGGCGGCGUGCUUAACACAUGCAAGUCGAACGAUGAAGCUGGAGCUUGCUCCGGUGGAUUAGUGGCGAACGGGUGAGUAACACGUGAGCAAUCUGCCCUUGACUCUGGGAUAACUGCGGGAAACUGUAGCUAAUACCGGAUAUGAGGCUUGGAGGCAUCUCCAGGUCUGGAAAGAAUUUCGGUCAAGGAUGAGCUCGCGGCCUAUCAGCUAGUUGGUGAGGUAAUGGCUCACCAAGGCGACGACGGGUAGCCGGCCUGAGAGGGUGACCGGCCACACUGGGACUGAGACACGGCCCAGACUCCUACGGGAGGCAGCAGUGGGGAAUAUUGCACAAUGGGCGAAAGCCUGAUGCAGCAGCGCCGCGUGAGGGAUGAAGGCCUUCGGGUUGUAAACCUCUUUUAGCAGGGAAGAAGCGAAAGUGACGGUACCUGCAGAAAAAGCACCGGCUAACUACGUGCCAGCAGCCGCGGUAA